CCUACGGGUGGCUGCAGUGGGGAAUAUUGCACAAUGGGCGCAAGCCUGAUGCAGCCAUGCCGCGUGUGUGAAGAAGGCCUUCGGGUUGUAAAGCACUUUCAGCGGGGAGGAAGGCGGUGAGGUUAAUAACCUCAUCGAUUGACGUUACCCGCGGAAGAAGCACCGGCUAACUCCGUGCCAGCAGCCGCGGUAAUACGGAGGGUGCAAGCGUUAAUCGGAAUUACUGGGCGUAAAGCGCACGCAGGCGGUCUGUCAAGUCGGAUGUGAAAUCCCCGGGCUCAACCUGGGAACUGCAUUCGAAACUGGCAGGCUAGAGUCUUGUAGAGGGGGGUAGAAUUCCAGGUGUAGCGGUGAAAUGCGUAGAGAUCUGGAGGAAUACCGGUGGCGAAGGCGGCCCCCUGGACAAAGACUGACGCUCAGGUGCGAAAGCGUGGGGAGCAAACAGAAUUAGAUACCCUUGUAGUC
rnacentral:rRNA from 1 species